UGACCAGGGCAGCUUCCUCCCCAGGGCCAA
rnacentral:piRNA from 1 species